rnacentral:rRNA from 1 species
GACGAACGCUGGCGGCGUGCUUAACACAUGCAAGUCGAACGGAAAGGCCCUGCUUUUGUGGGGUGCUCGAGUGGCGAACGGGUGAGUAACACGUGAGUAACCUGCCCUUGACUUUGGGAUAACUUCAGGAAACUGGGGCUACUACCGGAUAGGAGCUCCUGCUGCAUGGUGGGGGUUGGAAAGUUUCGGCGGGUGGGGAUGGACUCGCGGCUUAUCAGCUUGUUGGUGGGGUAGUGGCUUACCAAGGCUUUGACGGGUAGCCGGCCUGAGAGGGUGACCGGCCACAUUGGGACUGAGAGACGGCCCAGACUCCUACGGGAGGCAGCAGUGGGGAAUAUUGCACAAUGGGCGGAAGUCUGAUGCAGCAACGCCGCGUGCGGGAUGACGGCCUUCGGGGUGUAAACCGCUUUCGCCUGUGACGAAGCGUGAGUGACGGUAAUGGGUAAAGAAGCACCGGCUAACUACGUG